CAAACUGGGAUUAGAUACCCCACUAUGCUUAGCCCUAAACCAAGACAAUCAAGUUAACAAGAUUGUUCGCCAGAGAACUACUAGCCACAGCUUAAAACUCAAAGGACUUGGCGGUGCUUUAUAUCCCUCUAGAGGAGCCUGUUCU
rnacentral:rRNA from 1 species